rnacentral:rRNA from 1 species
UAGGCUGCAACUUGCCUACAUGAAGUCGGAAUCGCUAGUAAUCGCGGAUCAGCAUGCCGCGGUGAAUACGUUCCCGGGCCUUGUACACACCGCCCGUCACACCAUGAGAGUUUGUAACACCCAAAGCCGGUGGGGUAACCUUUUGGAGCCAGCCGUCUAAGGUGGGACAGAUGAUUGGGGUGAAGUCGUAACAAGGUAGC